GGAGCUUGCUCCCGGAUGUUAGCGGCGGACGGGUGAGUAACACGUGGGUAACCUGCCUGUAAGACUGGGAUAACUCCGGGAAACCGGAGCUAAUACCGGAUAGUUCCUUGAACCGCAUGGUUCAAGGAUGAAAGACGGUUUCGGCUGUCACUUACAGAUGGACCCGCGGCGCAUUAGCUAGUUGGUGGGGUAAUGGCUCACCAAGGCGACGAUGCGUAGCCGACCUGAGAGGGUGAUCGGCCACACUGGGACUGAGACACGGCCCAGACUCCUACGGGAGGCAGCAGUAGGGAAUCUUCCGCAAUGGACGAAAGUCUGACGGAGCAACGCCGCGUGAGUGAUGAAGGUUUUCGGAUCGUAAAGCUCUGUUGUUAGGGAAGAACAAGUGCGAGAGUAACUGCUCGCACCUUGACGGUACCUAACCAGAAAGCCACGGCUAACUACGUGCCAGCAGCCGCGGUAAUACGUAGGUGGCAAGCGUUGUCCGGAAUUAUUGGGCGUAAAGGGCUCGCAGGCGGUUUCUUAAGUCUGAUGUGAAAGCCCCCGGCUCAACCGGGGAGGGUCAUUGGAAACUGGGAAACUUGAGUGCAGAAGAGGAGAGUGGAAUUCCACGUGUAGCGGUGAAAUGCGUAGAGAUGUGGAGGAACACCAGUGGCGAAGGCGACUCUCUGGUCUGUAACUGACGCUGAGGAGCGAAAGCGUGGGGAGCGAACAGGAUUAGAUACCCUGGUAGUCCACGCCGUAAACGAUGAGUGCU
rnacentral:rRNA from 1 species